rnacentral:rRNA from 1 species
AGUUUGAUCAUGGCUCAGGAUAAAUGCUGGCGGCGUGCCUAAUACAUGCAAGUCGAGCGGUAAGGCUUUCACAGAUUAUUUAAACGGAAAAGUCCAAGAAUUUUAUUCAUGGAUACUAUCCUUCAACGUUUUCACCCGGCUGGGAGAAUAAAUGGUUGAAUAAUGUGUGAAAGUACACGAGCGGCGAACGGCUGAGUAACGCGUAGGAAUGUACCCCAAAGUGAGGGAUAAGCACCGGAAACGGUGUCUAAUACCGCAUGUGGUCUAAGGACUAAAGACUUCGGUCGCUUUGGGAGCAGCCUGCGUAAGAUUAGUUUGUUGGUGAGGUAAUGGCUCACCAAGACUACGAUCUUUAGCUGGUCUGAGAGGAUGAUCAGCCAGACUGGAACUGAGACACGGUCCAGACUCCUACGGGAGGCAGCAGUAGGGAAUUUUCCACAAUGGACGAAAGUCUGAUGGAGCAACGCCGCGUGCAGGAUGACAGCCUUCGGGUCGUAAACUGCUUUUAUGAGUGAAGAUUAUGACAGUAACUCAAGAAUAAGGGACGGCUAACUACGUGCCAGCAGCCGCGGUCAUACGUAGGUCCCAAGCAUUAUCCGGAAUUACUGGGCGUAAA